rnacentral:lncRNA from 1 species
GCUCCGUGUUCACAGGCAGUGCCGUGAGGGAAGCAAAAUGUGGUGAUUUCAAAGCUGUUAUAGUGGAGGUAUCGGGACAAGCCCAUUACACAGAGGACCUCUAGGCUUCAACUUGGAUGUCAUCUGGCUUCCAGCACAGACUCGAGCUUCUGGCGUAGACUUCAGAUCCUUCAGCUUUCCAGGGUAGACUCUUCAGGCUUCCAUGGCAGACCCAUCAGCCUCCUGAUAGCAGACUCACGUGGAACACUGCAGUGAGCUCCAGGCCUUUGACUGGAUCCUUCAGAUCUCCAGUGUGCAGACAGACCCUCUGCAGUCUUCCUCAUCCGACUCUGUGGGUGGCCAUUGUAAGCCAAUCUUGUAAAUUCAUAUAUAUUUGUGUACAUAGUAUUGUAUGUUUCUCUAGUAAACACUGACUGACAAUGUAUGUUAGUAUCCCAUAGCUACCUAGACAGGGGAGUUUUAUCCCUGAUGUUGUGUAGAAUUGUCACUUCUUGAUGAUAAAAACAAGCAGAUGUGCACCUCAGAUCAACCUCACUGGAGCAGGCCCUGCCCUCUG